rnacentral:lncRNA from 1 species
CCUCAAUAAGUGUAAUCUAAAACCUGCACGACACGAAAGUGAUGUAGCGUUGGUUUUACAAUUCAAAUUUAUUAUUGGCCACCCCUAUCUGUCUAGUGCUAUUAAGUGAUCAAUAAACUGCUGCAAUUCUUGAGCUGCAUAAUGAGCCAACAGUUAUGAUAUAAAAGACAGCUUUUGGGUCCUCAUAAGUGUAACAUCUCGCGGUAAGUUUCUUCUGUUUCAUCACAUUUGAGGACAUUUGAAGUCAACUUUUUCUUCUACAAGAAUGUCGAAAGUCGUUAUAUCUUCUACUCUAUUCAAUCGAUUGCUAGAUCUAUCGUAAGUUUCAAAAUUACUACAUGUUUCUCUCUGCGUCAUUUUUAAUAAAAAUAGUAGGGAUACAUAUCAAACCGACGAUUAGGCAAUUUGAAUUAACAUUAUAUUAUGUCUCGGGCAUUUGAGAUAUCAAAAUUUCUUGAAUACCAACAAUUUUUAUUAAAGAAUUCUGUCUUGAUUAUUGGCAAAAUGAAUUAUUAGACAUGGAUUAGUCAAAGGAAGAUAAGCUGUUCUUGUUCUGACCCUUAUUACAGAGAUCAUAAUAACAUGGAAGGAGUCCUAGGCAUGUGAGCACAUGAAACUAUUUUCAUGCCAUGUGAUGAGACUGUAUUUCCCAACCAAAUCAAGAACAUGUAUGUAUAGGAUUUGUGAGUUCACAGAAGUACCCUUUGGAAAGUUCAGAUUUUUGUUGGUAAAUUUUGUUAUUUCUGAAAUUUGGGUAUGGGGUUUUUUGUCAUUAUGUAAUACAAGUUGUAGUUAAUCAUGCCUAGUUCUUGAAAAGCUUGGAUUAAGAUUUGGAGAGCUAAUGUAUGUUAAAGACAGCUAAUCAACAUUGGGUAAAUCUUUUUGAAUGUUGUGUAUGUACUGUCAUAAUUAUUAUUGUUGUUAUUAAUUAAGCACACUAGAUUACAAAGACUAGGUGACUCUAUCCAUACUUAUGAUUUUAUCUUUUUUUUUGAAAAAAAAUAAAAAUAAAUAUUAGAAUUGGUAAAGAUUCAACGUUAG